rnacentral:rRNA from 1 species
GAUUGAACGCUGGCGGUAUGCUUAACACAUGCAAGUCGAACGGAAACGAUGGAAGCUUGCUUCCAGGCGUCGAGUGGCGGACGGGUGAGUAACGCGUAGGAAUCUGCCAGAUAGUGGGGGAUAGCCCGGAGAAAUCCGGAUUAAUACCGCAUAAUCUCCAUGGAGUAAAGAGGGCCUCUAUUUAUAAGCUUUCGCUAUCUGAUGAGCCUGCGUAAGAUUAGCUAGUUGGUGGGGUAAUGGCCUACCAAGGCGACGAUCUUUAGCUGGUCUGAGAGGAUGAUCAGCCACACUGGGACUGAGACACGGCCCAGACUCCUACGGGAGGCAGCAGUGGGGAAUAUUGGACAAUGGGGGCAACCCUGAUCCAGCAAUACCGCGUGUGUGAAGAAGGCCUGAGGGUUGUAAAGCACUUUCAAUUGUGAAGAAAAGUUAAUAGUUAAUACCUAUUAGCCUUGACGUUAACUUUAGAAGAAGCACCGGCUAACUCCGUGCCAGCAGCCGCGGUAAUACGGAGGGUGCAAGCGUUAAUCGGAAUUACUGGGCGUAAAGCGUGCGUAGGCGGUUGACUAAGUCAGAUGUGAAAGCCCCGGGCUUAACCUGGGAACUGCAUUUGAAACUGGUCAACUAGAGUAUGGUAGAGGAAAGUGGAAUUUCUGGUGUAGCGGUGAAAUGCGUAGAUAUCAGAAGGAACAUCGAUGGCGAAGGCAGCUUUCUGGACCAAUACUGACGCUGAGGUACGAAAGCGUGGGUAGCAAACAGGAUUAGAUACCCUGGUAGUCCACGCCGUAAACGAUGAUAACUAGCCGUUGGGAGGGUUUACCUCUUA